CCUCAUCAAAAUCCUCUGGCUGAGCAAAACCUAAAUACCUUAGCUGACAUUCCAGAACUUUCACAAGGUUCCGUCCCCCUUGCUAACAAACCUUGUCCCUCCUUGCUACAUUCUGUGCUUACCUCGCUGACCCACCCACCAAACACGGCACACUGCAGCCUCCCUCUUCUUGGCCACAACAUUCUCUCAGUCUCACUUCUCCACCAGCCUAACUCCUAUUCUUUCUUCAAAAGUCAGAGCACUGUAGUCCCCUCAUCCGUGGGGGGAUACAUUCCAGGACUUCCGGUGGAUGCCUGAAACCACGGUACCAAACCCUGAAUAUACCAUGGUCCCCCCCCCCCCAUACAUACAUACCUACGGUGAAGUUUCAUUUAUAAAUUCGGCACAGCUUGAGCUGCCUCCAUGAGCCUCCAGGACUACAGAGAGCUCCUGACUUAUGAAACCAUGAUCCUGAAGGCUGGCCUCAGACGUGGCACUUAGGUGUGAUGGGAUCAACAAAUCAGGAGAUGGCUGGAUGCAAGGAACUUUGCCUCUCUUGCUCCCAGUCCCCAAAUAGCCAGAGAUUCCAGGUUCCAGAAGUUCUGCAGCAUCAUAUCCUUGUUCCGGCCCCUCAGAGCCGGGUUCAGCUGCUGCUCCUCUUCCUGGGUGAAGUCCAUAGCCACAUCUGUGAGUGUCACCAAUUCCGGGGCCUCGUCAUCCAAUGGCUGGGCAGCCCAUGGUGGCUAGGGACAGGUAGCCAAGUGUACCAAAUGUCUCCAUUAUUACUCCAUUGAAUGAUAAAUUAUGUAGUCAUCUUAUCCAUGAGCGAAAUAUACACUGAAGCCAUGUUUCUCAAACCAGAACCCAGGCACCAGCAUGAAGACAGUCCUCCCCAGACUGGUCUGGCUGUGCAAAUCACCAUCUGUGCAGAGGGCUCUGAUGUCAUUUGGGCAACACAAGACAUGGAUGCCAUGAUUAAAAACACAAAUGCAAAUGGAGGUUCUGAUCCUGCUUGCCAAACUAGAUAUUCCAGAAUCGACAACUGAUAUUUUAAAAGAUUAUCGUUAAAAUGAAAACCAAAUUUGAAAAUUGUCUUAAAGGACUCAUGAACUCCUAAGAAUAUAUAUGGAGACACAUUCUUUUUUUUAAUGUUUAUUUAAAUUUUAGUUACUUAACAUCCAGUACAAUAUUGGUUUCAGGGGUAGA